UCUUUAGCUUGGCAGUGGCUAGUUGGUAAAAUUUUAUGACAUUUGCUAAAUGAGUUUAUAUUAUUGCUAUAUAUAUUUAUGAUUCGUAUUUGACAUUGUUGUUGCUAAGGAUUAAGGAUGUGAUUGACAAAGAAAUGUGAACUAUAGUUUGGGAUGACAAUAAAUUUAAUUGAAUGUUAUUUCUUGCAGCAAUAAAGUUGGAUAUUGGUUAAUACGCAAGUUUCUUGACGAAUAUAUAAAUGAAGGAAUUAGUUUAUAGAAAUUGAAGGGUUGAGUAAGAACCUGAUUUU
rnacentral:lncRNA from 1 species